rnacentral:tRNA from 1 species
GCCUCCGUAGCAUAGUGGUAGUGCGUUCGCUUCGUAGGCGAAAGGUCGCGAGUUCGAUCCUCCCCGGGGGCU